UACGUAGGGUGCAAGCGUUGUCCGGAAUUAUUGGGCGUAAAGAGCUCGUAGGCGGUUUGUCGCGUCUGCUGUGAAAACUCGGGGCUUAACUCCGGGCCUGCAGUGGGUACGGGCAGACUAGAGUGCGGUAGGGGAGACUGGAAUUCCUGGUGUAGCGGUGGAAUGCGCAGAUAUCAGGAGGAACACCGGUGGCGAAGGCGGCAUCCUGGACCAACACUGACACUGAGGAGCGAAAGCCAGGGGAGCAAACGGG
rnacentral:rRNA from 1 species